rnacentral:rRNA from 1 species
GGCCAGACUCCUACGGGAGGCAGCAGUGGGGGAUAUUGCACAAUGGGGGAAACCCUGAUGCAGCGACGCCGCGUGGGCGAAGAAGUAUUUCGGUAUGUAAAGCCCUAUCAGCAGGGAAGAAGAAAUGACGGUACCUGAGUAAGAAGCACCGGCUAAAUACGUGCCAGCAGCCGCGGUAAUACGUAGGGGGCAAGCGUUAUCCGGAUUUACUGGGUGUAAAGGGGGCGCAGACGGCAGCGCAAGCCAGGAGUGAAAGCCCGGGGCCCAACCCCGGGACUGCUCUUGGAACUGCGCGGCUGGAGUGCAGGAGGGGCAGGCGGAAUUCCUGGUGUAGCGGUGAAAUGCGUAGAUAUCAGGAGGAACACCGGUGGCGAAGGCGGCCUGCUGGACUGCGACUGACGUUGAGGCCCGAAAGCGUGGGGAGCAAACAGGAUUAGAUACCCCCGUAUAC